UAGUCAUGAAAAUAAAGAAAAUGCAUUGAAUGACAAGGUGUGUCCAAACUUUUGGCCUGUACUGUAUCAAGAAUCCACUUGAAGACCAAGUCUGGCAGUUGUGUCUGAAGCUACGAGAGAUUGUCGAACUGGUGAAGUGUAAUGGAAGACAUGGAAGAAACAGUAAAAGGUGCCCUCCCCUAUCUGGAAAAUGAGUCAUUGAACAAGAUUUUACUAGACUUGACAACCAUGGGUGUGAGAACAGCUGAGGACCUGGAAUUCAUAAAUGCCACUUAUUUGAGCCACAUCCUGCCACCAGUAGACUGCAGGAAACUAAUCCACACAUUCAAGAAAGCUGCACAAGACAACACUCAGCCAAGGCCAGAAGAAAUUAUUUUGACACUUGUACCUUGCACUGACACAGCACCUAAUUCAGAGCCUUUAUUGGCUGCUACAACAAGCCCUGUUCCUGUCCAGAAUAGCACAUGGGUGUCUACAUUUGCCGUGCCAUGGGAGAAAACGCGACCAAGUUUGAGAAGGUGUCUUGCUGAGAAGGAGAGACCAAAAAGAGAAGAUAGGCUUCAUAUGGUGCGAGUCAUCGCAGACAACAUCAAACAGAUUCUUCGUCAGGAUAAAUCUGGAACACAGCAAGUGUGCUGCAAAGAUGCAGGUGAGCCGAAGGACUGGAAUGACGGUCCAGAGGAAGAACGAGUCCCUCAACCCACACGUCGCUUCCUUCAUAAGGGUCUUCAUCGAUUAUGAUUGUAAGAACUGAUACCAGGAAGAAGACUUACACCCACGCGAACAAGUGAGAGACCAGCCCACUACCCUGAUGUGUACGCACAAGAAAUGCUGGCUAUGAUCAGAGCUACCUGAACAGGCAUGUUUUUCUUUUUUUAAAAAAUCUUUUUCUUACGUAUUUGGCUCUUUUUUACUUGUCUCUUUUGGUUUUAAACAAAGAUUAUUUUAUCUGUGUCCUUAAUAUCCCCUGAUAGAGGAGUUCCAAGAAGUUUGCACAAUGUUAUGUCCCAAAUGUUCAGUGGACUUUGUGAAGAAUUAUCAAAGCUUGAAAUUCCAGAUGAAAAAGUUUCUAAUGUUAUUGAUGGAUUGUCAAAAGAAAACUUAUUGAAAAUGUAUAAUGAUGGCGUGUUCAGAUCAGAUUCAGCCUGGAAGACAUAUUGUGUUCACAUGUUUCAUUCAUUGUAUUGUUUGUAAUCUUUGGCAUUAACAAGAAUAAAUGCAUUUUUGGUGACUAAAUGUGUCUUGAUUUUACAGUAGGCAAU